rnacentral:rRNA from 1 species
AAGACUAACUUCUGCGAAAGCAUUCGUCAAGGAUGUUUUCUUUAAUCAAGAACGAAAGUUAGGGGAUCGAAGACGAUCAGAUACCGUCGUAGUCUUAACCAUAAACUAUGCCGACUAGGGAUCGGGCGAUGUUAUCUUUUUGACUCGCUCGGCACCUUACGAGAAAUCAAAGUUUUUGGGUUCUGGGGGGAGUAUGGUCGCAAGGCUGAAACUUAAAGAAAUUGACGGAAGGGCACCACCAGGAGUGGAGCCUGCGGCUUAAUUUGACUCAACACGGGGAAAC